AAUUUAGGAUAGUGGAAAAAUUCAGUAGUGACUAAACAUGUCUGUGAAAGCAUUAUUUGUGAGUGAAGGAAAGUAACUUAUGUGUUUUUUUCUGCUUUUACUAAACCGGCCAAUUUUUCUAGCAUUGUUAAGAUGCAGCUUAAAGAAAAGUUGGUGAAUAAUACCAAAAACCGUUUUCCUUAUUAGUAGCAUUUAUGAGAGUCUGAUGUCUAAAGUUUAAUGUCAGCAGAGCUCUGUGGUUGUGUCAUAUGUAGCAACAUAGAAACCCCUGGCAGUUAUCUCAGUGACUGUACUAGUGAGGAUAGGCUGAGUUAUGCUGCAGUAACAAAAAUCAAUAAACAAAACAAACUCAGAGUGUCAUAGAGGUUAUUUCCUGCUCAUGCAAAGUCUAUUGUGGGUCCAGGUGACCCUCCAGGGCAAGGUUCUUCUGUUCAUUUGGGCUUUGAUUUUUGGUUCCAUCAUCUCAACUGUGACCUCCUCAGUCCCCGUGGUUGGUGAGGAAAUGCAAGAGGGCUUUGCAUUGGCUAUUAGAGCUUUAGCCCAGUAGACUCCGAUAUCGCUUCUGCUAACAGACUAUUAGCCUAGAACUAGACACAUGGCUCCAGAUCCAGAAGGGCAGGGAAAGGUAAUCCUCCCACAUGUCCAGUAUGAGAAAGGACCAGAUAAAUUUAAGGACUAGAAGUCCUACCUGCUACUACAGUGAUUCAGACAAAAUUUCCUAUUUUCAAUGGUCUAUACAAAAUUACCUUUUCUACCUAGCAUCCAUAUUUUCUUUGUAAUUGCAUGGUAGGUGGUUUUUAUUUGUUGGAUCUGGCUAAUUGUCUCUGCUCUGCAACUAAGGCCUUAAUUGUAUUAAGCAUACAUGAUUUACACACUACUUUUAUACAUAUUAUCUCAGUUACUAUAACCCUGCAGUAAUCUGAGUAGAAAGGUAUUAUUACUUUUAGGAAGUAGUUUCAGCAAAGCUUAGAAACGUCCAAGUUUUCCUAGUCAUGUAAUGCUGAAGAUAAGAUUAAAAUCCAGGUCUUCUGACUAACAUCUUAUAUUCAUUGUACUAUACCAUAUUACUAUCUUUGUUGGAGCUCUUUAUGCUUAUUCCUUUCAAAUAAGUAAAAUUACUGUUACUGUUGUUCCCUUACUGUUGUUCCCUUAUGCAUGGAAGAUUAUGUAUCUGGUUGGCCUUAGAGUUUCAGACUUAGUUCAGUGUUUAUGACGUCUGGAGUUGUUUUGUCAUAAGCUUGCUGCAGAAAUCAUUAUUCCAAAAUUUCCUUAAAAGUCUAAAAUGAACUGUUUUAUUCCAUUUUAUUUGAUUCUCACAUAUGCUUUUUAAAAUUUUGGCUUAUUGGCCAUUAAAUUAAUUUUAUUAAAUGUUUGUAAUUACAGGGUCUUGGCCAACACAGCUCUGAUAUGUGCCAUUUGUACUUCUUUACCACUAAAUUGAGAUCUGUCAACUUUUAUGGUGUCUUUUAUAGUUCCUCUUACCCCAGAACGUUAAUGCUCUUUACAGAAACUAAACUCCUUGGAAUUAAGUGUUUGCCUUUUUACCAAGGGAGAAAGUGAAGCCCACUAGAAGCUGUAAUGCAAAUUCUCAACUCCAGACCAGUCAUUCUCUUCAUGGCCCUGGUGUUAUAAAUAGCAACAUUCUGAAUUGAUUUUCCCAUAUCAAGCACUAACUCAAUUCAUCAUGCAUCUUCAAAUCCCUAUCACAGAGUGUGCUUCAAGGAAAUUCAACCUACAACACUCAAUUACACAAGAUUUCAUCACAUUCUAUACCUGAAGCCCCAUUCUGCCUUUGGUCGAGUCUUGGAUAGCUUCUGCUGUCCAUCCCAGGCACUGCCCAGCCUUAUGGAACUAGGAUCACAAAGGAGAGAGUGGAAGGGGGAUCUUAAGACCAGAGAUCGAAGGGCAUCUUGGAGAUGAUCAGCUGCCUCAGGAUGAAGUUGAAAAUCUCCUUCCCAGUCACCAGCUGCCAGAAACUCAUUGAAGUGGAUGAUGAAUGCAAACUUCAUACCUUUAGUGAGAAAGGAUUGGCAUUUUAGUGGACUGGAUUAUCCACUCAUUUUCAAUUAAGUUUCCAUAUGGCAAAUUGAAGCUGACCCUAUUACAAUUAGAAAGCUAUGUGGAAGGAAGGAGGCCAUAAAUAAUAUUUCUAGUCCUUUAAAUUACUUGAUUGAGAUAACCUGGGAGAUCCAGACCAGAUGGUGACAGAGGAGGCUCCUGAAUUUUUUCUUCUCAUGGAUGCACUGAGUACAGCCACACGAAGCAAUUUCCUGUGAGAGAAAUCCAGAAAUGAGUUGAAUGACUCCUACACACCAGAUGACAAGCAACAUCCACCUUAAAACAGCCAAACUGCCUCUUCACCUUACAUCAGGCUCAAGUUUUUACCCUCCAUGUAUUUUAGCCUUCAAGGAAUCUCUCCACCAGGGAGUGAGAGAGUAAGACAGAGCUCUGGGAUUCCUCUGUUGGAUGUCACCUCUCCUACAUGGGACAAAGAUCACACUCUGCCUUGAAACUCAGUAAUCAAAAAGGUAGGCUCUGUUUGCUGGGUCCUUCAAAGCCUCUCGUGCUGUAAGGGAAUAGGGGGCUCUCUGCCUUACCUGGAUAUUGGUCCUAAAGGGAUGAUGUCUGGGAGCCAGGCAAAAUCUAUGGCUGUAGCUGUUGUAACUUACAUAGUCCCAAAUCAAGGCAGGUGGAUUAUGUAUUCUCUUUGUUUUCACUCUGGAUUUAUAGGAAGGAAGUGUUAUUUUUCCCCUUGUCCAAAUAUCUUAAAUCAUUCAAAGGCAGCAUUAGACUUUAAGCAGAAAAAUGCAAAUGUAACUGGGACACUUACAAUGACCUAAAUGCAUGCUGAUUACCUUUUCUGUUAUUUUCUGCCCUUAAAUAAAGAAAAUAAAAUAAAUGUCAGCAGUAAGAAAAAUGAAAGUAGGUCAGACUACAGAACCAUUAGAUCAAAAGCAGUUAGAGCCAAACACACCUUUCCCAAGUGGGAAAGUGAGAAAUCAACAUGUAAAUGAAAAGCAUUUGAAGAGCUAUAGCAGUUCCUCUAUUAGCCUUGGCAAUUAGCAGGAGGGCAUUAAAUUAUUCUGGCGACUGCAUCUUGUAACUGGAACAAAGUGGAUGUGAUGGUACUGUUACUGAAAGAGAUGAAUCACUCCAAAACAGGACUUCCAUUGGGUGGGACUCAUAUUAUUUAGAAAAUGAGGAGAAGAAUGGACAAUGAAGGAUGUUCCUUGCUGAUAUCAUGGGAAGAACAUCUGAUUUUGCAUUAAGCAUGUGUGUGUGUGUGUGUGUGUGUGUGUGUGUGUGUGUGUGUGUGUGUGUAUGUAAAGAUCUGUGGGUUCUUUUUUUUUUAAGCCUAAUACUAAUACUACCAUGUGACAAUGCAUACGGUAUGACCAUGGAUUCCUACUGAAGACAUGCUGAUGGUAUUCAUUCUUGUAAAUGAUUGUUACGCUAUUCCUUGUUGAAAAUUUGCUUUUAAUGUCUCAUUAUAUGGGGUCAAGUUGACAUACUCAUCCUUGCCCUACAAAGUUUAACAGAGUUGAUAUAGGUAUGAAGGAAAGAGAGGCAGCUAAAUAAAUGUGGAACAUGCCUGUUAAUGAAAAGUCACUCACAAAGAUGUUUAUAGAAUGAGAUAAGAUCUCGAGAGAAAGCCUCUGAAAGAAGGAAUGGGAGGAGUUCUAUGAAUGUAAGUAAGCUCUAGGAAGGCUCUAAGAACCAUUGGAAGAUUUUGGAGAGUUAACAAUGAAUGAUAAUCCACUAUAUGUACUAACUCUUCCAAGAAUUUGAACCCAUUUCUAGUCCUGAUACAGAUAUGUUUGUUCUAGUCCAUAUAAUAUGUUUGUUACCCCAAAUUGUCAAAAUUGCUGUGAAUGUAAUAUGAAUGUGAAUAAAAAUACCUUGAAUUUUUACCUGAAAAGCCAAAGGUAUUAAAUGAAGAAGACCCAAAAGAUUUUGAAUUUUAGAGAAAGGUGUAUCUCAAAUUUCGUUGUGCCUAAUCUGUGGGAGAAAUAAAGUCCUAUCUUUACUAGUAGUUGUUAGCCUUUGGAAUGUACCAUUUUCCAUAUCAUUCAAGAAAAAUGGAGGAAACAUAAGAGGGCUCACAAUUUUAUACAUUCUAUAGUAUGACAGUUGGAAAUUACUUCUGAUCUUUUUGCCCUGGUCUGACAAAUGACACUUUCAGGUAGCAAGGAAGAGGAACUUCCUUUUCCUGUAGCAACAUAGCUCAUAAGAUAGGGGGUCUGAAAAGGUCCUUUGAAUUUGUGACAAACAAAUUAUUUUUAUUUUUAAAUGAUCACCAUGAUGUUUACCCUAUUUAAUAUGAAAGUGGAAAUACAUGCUUUAAUGUUGAUUUAGUAAUCUUUAGACUCUAUAGGUUGUAUCCUGGAUUUAUAUUAACAACAACAACAACAAAAACCUCAUUGAGAAAUUUAUAAAGAAAAGCAAAAGACCCAGAAUAGCCAACAUAAUAUUGAAGAAGAAUAAAGUUGGAGGACUGACAUUGACUUCAAAACUUUAUAUAAAUCUACAGUAAUCAAAACAGUGUGGUAUUGGCAAAAGAAUAGGCAAAUAGAGCAGUGAAACAGAGAGCUGAGAAACAGACCACACAAAUAUAGUCAACUAAUCUUUGGUGAACCAACAAAUGCAAUCCACUGAAGAAACAAUAGCGUUUUCAACAAAUGGUGCUGGAACAGCUGGCCAUCCACAGGUAAAAAACACAACAAACAACCAAACCAAACAACAACAAAAAAAUUAAAAAUCAAAGGAUCUAUACAUACACUUUACAUCUUUCACAAAAAUCUCUCAAGAUGAAUCACAGACCUAAAUGUAAAACACAAAACUUCAAAACUUCUAGAAGAUUACACAGCAGAAAAUCUAGGUGACCUAGGCUAUGAGACUCUAGAUACAAUAACCAAAGAACUACCCAUGAAAGAAAAACUGAUGAGUUGAACUUCAUUAAAACAGAAGACUUCUGUUCUGUAAAAAACAUUGUUAAGAGAAUAAAAAUUAAGCAGCUACAUUGGAGAAAAUGUUUGCAAAUACACACAUCCAAUAAAAGACUUGUAUCCAAAAUAUACAAACAACCAACCAGGACUUUGGGUUCUAGACUAUAUACCUGGAAUAUUCAUGAGAGAAUGGUUGCCCUUGUGCCCUGCCCCUUAGAUUUGACAUCCUAUCCAAAAUUAAAUUAGGCAAGGAGUUUAAGGAUUUCCACUUGUAACUUGCCACUAGGAAUUAUGUCUGUAUUUCUGUAUUGCCAUGUACAUGUAAACACAUUAAGUCCUAACUUCUCAAGAUGGCAGACACAUAUAUGGAGACACAGGGAACUUCUUGGGGAAAGGAACUAUUGACAGCAGCUCCAAAACCAAUCAGACAAGGGAGAAAAUGGAGCCAGUACUAUUCUUGCUCCAGGGCAAUCAGUAGAACCCAGAACUUUUGGGAUUAAUGGAUGAAUCUGAGUACUGGGGCCAUGGAACAUUGGUUUGCAUUUAUAGGUUUUAAAUAUGAAUAUGUAUAUUUCCAUUUGAUGUCUUUUUUUUGUGCUGGACUAAAGUUACAACUAUAGGCUCUGCCACUGCUGCUGUUUACCUUGCAUCUUUUUUUCCUUAGGCAUCUCACUCCUUUAUAACCAGUCAAGGAACUUGUUUCCCUAGCACACUUUGCAACCCAGGUCACUCCCUGAAGUGUUUCCAUCAGCUCCAAUUUGGCAAAAAUACAAAGCUAGACUUGCUUUGGGAAUUUCAGAAUGCAAAACAAUAGAAGCCUUCCCCCACACAUCAAGCUUAGUUACAUUGUCACCAUAUCUACCCAAGGAAUCAAAAUGCUCCCCAGUUAGAGUCUUGGUAGGCUUAAAUUCAUGUUUUACUUAAAAGGAUGUGAGGAGGGAAAAUAUUCUAUAUGAGCUGUUUGGGAAAGAAGACAGGAAAAAAAAAAAAAAAAACAUUCCGAAAUGCUCAUUGUGGUAAUGAUGCUCUGAAAGCAAUUUUUAGAAUGUCAUAUAUGCAAGCAUCAUUUUUAUUCCUGUCAGUAUGAAACAAACUUGAAAUGGUGAUGCUCGGUCAAAGUUUCCAAGUGCUUCCCAGUAGGCAGAGACAGGAUAUAAGAGAGGAAGCUAGUCAUGGCAUAGUCACCUGGCAAAAUUCCUAUUUCCAAUGGAAAUCAAUUUUUUUUUUGUUACAGCAGUUUUUUUCCAUUAUAUCCCUAGUAAGUCCUUCACAAGAACAAAGAGUGAUGAUGGCUUACUAUCUUGUUUGGCUUUGGAGUUUACCAGAAAGCACCUUCUCCUGGAAUUUGCCAUUGUUUCACACAACACGGGGCUCCCUUAGCCAAUGAAGAGAGGGGGGCAGUGGUGGUGGUUUUAAUUAGGUGUCAUAAUGAGUAUUUAUUUUUUGAACUUUUCCCUUGGCAAUCAGAAAUUUAGAAAAAUUGGGCUGUCUCUCUCUACUGCUUUAAAUGGUUUUAGUUAUUUUAGACUCCUUUUUUUUUAGGGUUAUAAAUGCUCUUACUGAAGACUGGGGAUUUCUUUAGUAGCACUGAGGAAAUCUUUCUUGCCAUCUAAGUUGGCUACUUUACAUGGAUCAUGCUUUGUUUAUGAAAAAUUAAUUCUGAUUCCAAAUAUGACAGGAUCUAUGAUUUUUUCCCCUUAUGUUUGCAAAACUGCAUGAAACUUUUUUUUAUUGCUGCCUUUGAAGUUUAAUUCUGUAGGAACCAUGUAGUCUUAUAGAAGCCCAGAAAAGGUAACAGAAUACUAUGAGAAAAUGGUAUUCAUAGAGUUCCCAGGGGAAAAAAGAUAGGAAAGGAAGAGAAAAGAAAAGAGAAAUCCUGCUGGUUCAGUACUCCCAACCCCAUGCCAGGAUUUUUGUUUCAGGCAACAAAGAUAAUCUGUGAAUCUGUGGGCACAUAUCUAAAGUCACUUAGACCUACACAUUUUAUGAUUGUCUCUGUCUGAUUAAACAAGCCUCAGAGACAUAAUGAAUAAUUUAUGAUAAAUCAAUGUCCACAUAGAAUAAAAGCACAUUUUAAAAGGAUUGUUUUAUGUCUAAUUCCCAAGAGAAUGCUAAGUUUGUCCCCUUUAGUGAGCUUUUUAUACGACUGUCUUAGUUUUUUAGAUUUUCAGUUUCAAAAAUAAUUAAAAAUAAGAAGUAAAUAUUGAAUAGCCCUGCAAAAUACACCUCGUGUAUUAUCCCAUUGAAUUUUCACAACACUGUGGGUCAGUUGGUAUCAGCACUGUAAGUGUUAGAGGUCUUAGCUCUGCAGAGGUCUUAGCUCUGCAGAUAAAUGGAAAUUUGGGAUCUCAUGUGACUUCUGAAAAUCUACCCUAAAUAGCACUAUCAGGUCUCAAUUCAAGUAUUUGAUAACCCAACUCUAGGCCUUUUCUGUUAUAUAAAGCCUCAUUUUUAAGAGAAAUUUCCCAGACUUUGAUACAGACCUAUGCAUGUGCUGGAGAAGUCUUGCACAGUCUUUGAAGGACAAGAAGGGAGCCACAGAAACUUUCCCCCAUGUGUUAGGUGGACAGAAAGGACAUUUGCUAUCUUGCUUAUAUUCUCUUGAUGUGAUAUGGCUGAGUCCUCACAAUUAUUCCCUUAAUCCACUCCCAGAUACAGAUAUUCAGAAAGGGAGUAAGUCCUAAACAUCUAGUGGUAUCAUAAAAAUAUGUUUUAUUGCCUUCUCCUGCUAUAUACCAACAAUUUCAAAUGUAUACUUGUAAAGUUAGCAUUGCCUCCCUUCUUUCCCCCUAUAUCUUACUAGAAAGGAAGGGUAAGAAGUACAGCAGAAGCACUCAGGAAUCUAAGGCCUCCUCUGGGUAUGCUGAAGUAUAAGGCUGGUGAGUUCUAGGUACGAACCUUUGAAUGUAUCUUUCAUUUCUAGUCUUCCUUGCCUCUAAACUUCAAGCUUCUUUUUGUAGAGCUAAAAUAACUACUUCUCCUUGGCCUUUUAUUUUUAAGAUUUUCAAGAGUUCAUAUAAAUAUUACACAGUAGCAGUGGCCCCAACAUGUCCUGGGCAUCUACCUUGUACAAAGCACUUGUGAGGAGACAUGUGACAUAACACCAGGGUAGGAUGCUUCAGGCACUUCAAAAGAUAACUCCUCAUUUCACCACAUCUCUAAUUGCUUCCGCUUUAUGCUACAGACUUCCUAGAGGAAAGAGAUGUGGUCUUCUGACCACCAAUAGGAUUGUGCAGAACAUAUCCAGUCAUCUGGAGCAGUUUUGGUCCAUUUAGAAUUUUUUUUUAAUUACACGGUAAUAGCAAUAUGAGAUAUUUUAAGGAAAAGUGACACAAUGUAUGGUUAACCAAAUAGUGCCUGAAACACAGUCAAUGUUUGGGAAAUGGUAGCUAUUAUAUUUUAGUAAGUUAUUUAGUAAUAACGCUGAAGGAAGUUGGAAUGAUGAAGGUAGGAAGUAGGGUCCAUGCAAACACUCCCAGAGCUUGGACUUGGGGAGAUACAGGCAUUUCUUCCUGAGCACAGUGGCAGCUACUAAGGAUUUUGUGAUCAAAGGUAACUUGGGAUCCUGCUUUAAGGUAUCACUGGACUGGUGGUUCCUGAUAAACUAUGUGAUAGUCGCUACAUAGGGACUUAACCGAGCGAUUUCAUCCUGAAUCCUUAACAGAUUCUUUGAAGUAUAACAGUUCAUUGAGGAUUGUCUGAAGUGCUCAGCAACAUGCAUUAGCUCUUCAGAUGCCCAAGGGCUUGCAUAUUUUGCAUCUUUCAAAUCAAGAUAUAUGGAAGAGUCAAAUGGGAAGAAUUACAGCAACGACGAACCUAAAGAACCUCAACUCAAUCCCCAAAUUCAACAAUUGCUUUUGAAUGCUUUCCAGGCAGAAUGGAAGAUAAAAAAAUAGGCAAGGUAAGAUCUUUGUGUACUUUGGAAAGGAUACAACACGAUUAACUACAAUACAUGUUUUAUAGUAGAGGCAGAGAUAACUAGAAUUUAUAUAGAAAGAAAAGAAACAUUAAUUCUGAGAGCAAGGAUCUGGAAAGCAGCCAAAGAAUAGGUGGAGCCUGGGUCUUGAAGGUUGGCUAGGAGGCUGAUAAAUGGAAGAGGGGAAAGAGUAUUUGAGGCAGAAAGAACACAUGAAUAAAGGCACACAAGUGGGAAAUAGAGAAAAUGACUGAAGAGAACUGCAGAUUAAAUGCAUUCAUAUGGUAUCUGAGAGGUGUGACCAAAGGUUGAUUCAUGGUAACAUUUCCCAGUUAGAGGGGUGAUAUAGUCUUGAUAAAGAAUAGUGAUGUCUGCAAGUGGAAAAUACCAGUUUCGCUCUGCCCUGUAGGGGAUGCAAGUAAUGAUCUGCCCACCCAGCUACUGCUGAUUACUACAGCUCAGGGAGCUCAGUUGGUCCAAUAGUUGCAGCAACAGAGAAAGGAAGCUGUAUAAUUGAUUGACAGCUUCCCAGAAAGCUAGGGUCUGCUCCCUUCAUUAUUUGUUCUCUUUUCAUUCUCACUUGGCAAUUUAUAGUGUUUGAGUGUGGAUGAAGGGAAUGAGUUUGUUUUACUGAAAAGAAAAUGUCAAGAUCCAUAGACUCAAAUGUAUUUGCUUAUAGCAAUGUGAUAACUAUGUGUUAACCCUUUCCCUGAAGAUCUGAUUUAAGCUGACUGGAGUCAGAAGUAUUAUCAUUUUUGUAAUACCACUAUCAUGCCCUCUCUCUAAGAAAUGUAUAGGAUUGUCCCAAUGUUUGGAUUGCUUGCAAGAACAGUUUAUCCAUUAGGCACAAUAGGCAUAUUGCUGAUGACCCUCAACACAUUAGGGGACCAUAAAAAUUUUUUAAUUUCUUUUAAAAUCAGGAGAGAUAACACACCUUUGAAAUUGAAGAAAAAGUUUCAUUUUCUUCAAAUGAAAAUUUAAAGAAAAUUAAAAUUUUAGGGUCCCUGAAAAAUCUAUUAAAUUUCGCCUAAAGUAGGAAAACAAUUAAAAUAUUUAAGGUUAUAUCCAAAGCUGGGGUACCUGGCUGUCCCAGUUGUUAGAACUUGGGACUCUAGAUUUCAGGCUUGUGGAUUCAGACCCCACAUUAGGUUUAAAGAUUACUUAAAAAAAUAAAAUCUUAAAAUUCUUAAAGUUGUAUCAAAAGUAAGAUUUGAAAUUAAUAUUAUUAUGAAAGAAGGAGCCUAUGAAGGCAAAAGUGCCCAGGCCCCACAAAAAUCAUAAUGUGGUCCCUCCUGCUCUGACACCUCAACAGAAGAUCUCUAACAAAAGAACUUCCCAUCUCUCUAAAAUACGACGAUGGAAAAGCCACAGAGCUUAAAAUAAAUGACUCAAACAAGAAUUUGAAGAAGAUCCUAGAAAUAUAAAUAACCUCUGGAAUCUUUUAAAAACUUGUUAUACCAAUACGAAAUGAUGUUUAAUGAACUGAAACUGAAGUGUUUUCUGUUUUAUUAUUGAGAUAAAUCCUUCAAAUCCCUAUUGCCUUUGUGACUGCUGAGCUAGGUGGCACUGUAUCUGAUCCAAGUUCAAAAUUUGUUCUCAUGAUCUGUACUUAGAACUGCUGCGGAAUCAAUACCGGUCCCAAAGAAUGAUCAUCAUGGUCACAAUGACUAGGUCAUGUAUCUUUAUGAUAUGUUCACUUUAAAUUCACAUUCCUGCCAAAACCUUGAAGGGAAGUCAUAGAGGUGGAAAAUGACAGUUUAAUUCUCUGGAUAGACUGGCUUCUGUCACAACAAAAAGCAUAGCUCAGUGAAAAGAAAAUUAAUUAUAUACUGAAUAAGGAGUCGUCAAACAUGUUGGUUUGUGUCAUAAAGAUCAAUCAACCAUUUGAUUGAUAAAAAAAAAAAUAAAUGACUCAGAUUUGAAUAUACUUUUGCCAUUUACUCUCCAUGUGACCCUGGGCAGGUUGUUAGCCUAGCCAAACUUCUGUUUGUUCAUCAGUUUAUGAAUAUCAAAACUAUCAUCCCUUCCUAUUUUUGGCCCUGCCAUAUUCAGCAGCUCAGUCCUUUAUGUUCACUGCUUUAGGAAAAUAUGAGUGAAUACCCAAGAGUAAAAUCUCUGGGUGAAACAAUAAAUAUGUAUUUAAUUUUAUGAAAAAAUGCCAGACUGUUUUUUGCAUAAUGAGUGUACCGUUUUGUAUCACCAAGAGCAAUCUAUGAAAGUUCCAGGUGCUCCUCAUCCCUGACAGUAUUUGGUAUUAUUAGUAUUACUUUAUCAUUCCAAUAGAUAUGUAGGAAUACAUCAUUCUGGUUUUAAUUUCAAUUUUUCUAAUGGCUAAUGAUGAUGAAUAUAUAUUCAUGUACUGAUUUUUCAUCCAUAUACCCCCUUUUCUAUCUGUUCAAGACUUGAAUAUUUUUGUUUGGGUUGCUUUUUACCUUACUGUUAAGGUUUGAGAGUUCUUUACAUAUUCUAGAUACAAGUCCUUUCUGAGGUAUGUAAACUACAAUAUUUUAUCCUUGAAUAUUAUAUCUGUCCAUUCCUGUAACAAUGUUUUUGAUAGAGCAUAAAUUUUUACAUCCAAUUUAUCAAUUUAUCAAUUGAUAAAAGAUUAUUAUUUCUCCAUUGAAUUGCUUUUGCAUGUCUGUUUAAAAUCAAAUGGCUAUUUUGUGUAUGUUUUUCAACUCUUCUGUUCCAAUGACCUAUAUAUUUAUCUCUUGGCUAAUAUUACACUGAUUACUGUAGU